AUGGCCGCAGCGAGAAUGGCCUUCGCAUCAAGCUGUCGCGUCCACCUCCUCCUCCCUUCCUCACCUUCAACCCCCAUCCUCGCCAGGCCCCGAGUUGGCUUCAGGGGCAUAGCCAAAUCCAUCUCGUUCUUGGCACCGUUAUCGGCUGCUAGAUCCGCCGCCCUCUUCUGCUCUUGCUCCUCGCCUUCCUCCGACGCCGUCGUCGCACCGGUACCUACGCAGGCGGCCGUAGAGGAGAAGAAGCCGGCGCCCGCAGUUGGGGAGGAGGAGAAAGGCGAGGUUCCGGUGGGCGAGCUCGCUGGCCUCCUGGACAUCCGGGUGGGGCGGGUCGUCAAGGCGUGGCUGCACCCGGAGGCGGAUACUCUGUACGUGGAGGAGGUCGACGUCGGCGAGGAGCAGCCGCGCACCAUCUGCAGCGGCCUCGUCAAGUACUUACCCCUCGACCAACUCCAGGACAGCAAUGUCAUUGUUCUUGCUAACCUGAAACCAAGAAACAUGCGCGGCAUCAAGUCUAGUGGCAUGCUUAUGUGUGCCUCUGAUGCUUCUCACGAGACUGUUGAGUUGCUUACCCCUCCAGAAGGUUCUGUUCCCGGUGAAAGGGUAUGGUUUGGAUCUGAAGAUGAAAAGAGUAUUCAAUCAGAACCUGCAACGGGAAACCAGGUUCAAAAGAAAAAGAUUUGGGAAUCUGUUCAGCCUCACCUUAAGACAACGGAUAACUGCGUAGCAGUUCUUGGUGAGCAACCAAUGCGCACCUCAGCAGGCAUGGUUUUCUGCAAAUCAUUGCAGGGUGCAAGCGUGUCAUAA
rnacentral:rRNA from 1 species